UCCAAGCACUUGGCAUUGAUCAGCAAUCUUAGCAGUUCUGUGAGAACAGAGGUUACAGCUGUCACAGGAAGUCGAAACCAAGGCUGCGGAAAUCACACCCCUUCCGAGGCAGGUGAAAGUGUACACUGAGCAGAAUUCAGGCCCGGGGAGGUGGGGGUGGCAGAGCUGGCAGGUGGAGAAGGGCGGGAUGCUGUACAAGAGAAAAUACCCACAGGGAAGAAGAGUGGAUGUAUCCCUGGAACUCCGGGUUGAUUUAGAGACCUGCAGGGGCUUAUGGCUAAACCGCUGCAUCAGUUAGGGACUUCCCCUUCACUUUGGCUGAUGGCCAUCCUGGAACAUUGUGUGACUAGAGAAGCUGGAAUUUAGGACUUCUUGUGAAAUCUCCUGAUGUUUAAAUAUCGGCAAAUAAUUAAGCCACCCAGCUAGGUAUCAUGAGGAACCCAAAGAAGCUUCAUUUGGAGUCCGUGUCCUUAACAGCCUUAUAGUCCAUCUGGCUUCACAAGAUACACACCAAAGAAAAGGCAGAAAAGACGAGAGGGCGAAUUUGAGGGACAGAUCAAAGCUGGCACCACCCAGCUGACUUUUCAGACCUGGAAGGAUCUCUUCUUCUCAGCUGGGAUUACUUGGAAGGAUGUCAUUUUUGCCCAAGCAUUUCUUCUUUGCUACCACCUUUUGAUCCCUCGCUAUGUGCCAAGCACUGUACUAACUGUAUUAUGUCAUUCCCUCCUCUCGGCAACUCUGAGACAUUAGUCUCAGAGAUGAUAAGCAAUUUCCCAAGGUCACACAUUAUAUAUGGCAGAAGGGGGAUAGGAAAUUCUCCCAGGUCCCGUGUUUUUAGAUUCUUCUUAAGUAAAAAAGUUUUAAAAAUUAACUAUUUGCUCACUGUUGUUAAUCUUGCACAGAUCCUUUUGAAGAAAAUGGCAAUUGAGAACAAACACGCCCAACAUCACCAUGCUAUUUUUUACUCAGUGGGAAGGAGUGAACAGGCCCUGGUGUAUUGCUGGUGAGAGUGUAAAUAAGGUGACACUUUUCUGGAAAGCAGUCUGGCCAUUUGAAUCAAGAGCUUUAAAAAUUGUCUCUACCCUUUAAUGAGGAAAUGGGCACCCUCUAGGGAGAUAGCGAUAGCUAGCAACAUAAAAUGUAAAAGCUGUCUAUGUGAAAGACUCAUUCCCUGUGACCCACAAGUUCCACCUAAAGGAAACUGUUGUGCAGAUGGAUGUAAUAGCACAUGGUCAAAAAGGUAUAUUUGUAAGGGCAUUCAUUACUGCACUGCUCCUAUAGCAAAAGAUGGGGAAGAGCUUAAAAAGUAUCAAUAGAAUUGACGAAUUUAAUUAUAUGCAAUGUUUUGGAAAACGAGGCAGUUCUUGUUUUAUAUAUAGAACAAUCAUCAAGAAAUAUUAAGAGAGAAAACUGCAGAUGUAUCUGUUGUGCUACUGUUUCUGUAUGUAUAAGAAAUAUAUGUGUGUGUGUGUGUUUCUAUGAAAGAUAUACAAGAAACCAGGUAAUAAUAAUGUUGCCUUUGAGGAGGAAAACCACAGCUGAAGGACCAUGUCGGAGAAAGACAUUUGUUUCAUUGUGUGACCUUCAGUACCUUAUAUAUACACAUGGACAUAUAAGCAAUUCAAAAUUCAACUUUAAAAAAUAAAUUCACUAAAAUCCUACCUCUAGAUCCAGUAAUUCUCCUUUCAAGAAUCUAGCUGAAGGAACUGUUGGAUUUCAUACAAGGAUUAUACAAAAGGAUAUUCACUGAG